rnacentral:sRNA from 1 species
CUUUUCCUUAUAACCUUUGUCUGCCUCUGUAGAAGGAGGAUGGGCUUUUGCCCAAACCACUCUCUUCUGGGGGAGAGGAAGAAGAAAAACCCCGGGGCGAGGCUUCUGAGGACCUGUGUGAGAUGGCCCUGGACCCAGAACUGUUGCUUCUGAGGGAUGAUGGAGAGGAGGAGUUUGGAGCAAAGCUGGAGGAUUCGGAGGUCCGGUCCGUUGCCUCAAACCAGUCAGAGAUGGAGUUCUCUUCACUUCAGGACAUGCCCAAGGAGCUGGAUCCCUCUGCUGUGCUCCCCUUAGACUGUCUGCUUGCUUUUGUGUUCUUUGAUGCCAACUGGUGUGGCUACUUGCACCGGCGAGACUUAGAGAGGAUCCUCCUUACCCUUGGGAUCCGGCUCAGUGCAGAGCAGGCCAAGCAGCUGGUCAGCAGGGUGGUGACCCAGAACAUCUGCCAGUACCGGAGCCUUCAGUACAGCCGCCAGGAGGGCCUGGAUGGUGGCCUUCCCGACGAGGUGCUCUUCGGUAUGUCCUGGGGCCCUGCAGCCUUCCUGGGGCACGGGUAGGGCAGGCUGCCCUCUCUGGAGACUCCAUCCUGAAUUCUUUUUCACGGUUCUCUCUAGGAAACCUGGACCUGCUGCCCCCUCCUGGGAAAAGCACGAAGCCAGGUGCUGCCCCCACAGAACACAAAGCCCUGGUGUCCCACAAUGGCAGCCUGAUUAACGUGGGGAGCCUGCUGCAGCGCGCGGAGCAGCAGGACAGCGGCCGGCUCUACCUAGAGAACAAGAUCCACACACUGGAGCUGAAGCUGGAGGAGAGCCAUAACCGUUUCUCAGCCACUGAAGUAACCAAUAAGACGCUGGCGGCAGAGAUGCAGGAGCUGCGAGUCCGGCUGGCGGAGGCCGAGGAGACCGCCCGGACGGCGGAGCGACAGAAGAGCCAGCUCCAGCGGCUGCUGCAGGAGCUCCGCAGGCGUCUGACCCCCCUGCAGCUGGAGAUCCAGCGGGUGGUGGAAAAGGCUGACAGCUGGGUGGAGAAGGAGGAGCCGGCACCUAGCAACUGAUGGCCUCGCACGGAACUGCCAUCCUGUGAGGGCAGCGGUGGCGCCCGGCAAAGUUGGAGCCCUUGCGGUACCAGAAAGCAGCGAGAGCGAGACCUGGCAGCCAGGGCAGGGGUGGCUGACCCCAUGCUCAGCCUCUAGGGGACGGCAGGCCAUCAGGCUGGGGGCUGUGCUAUGUGGGAUGGAUGUGUGAGGAACCCCCGGUUCCACUUAACAACUAAAUACAACAUCUUUUGCACCCCUAGAAUGUCAUUUUGCCCUCAACCUUGGUAUUUCUCCUGGGGCCCUUUUAGUCUUGUGCUGACUUUCUCCUGUCCUCUUCCAGUUUAGAAUAAGACAGGGGAGAAAAAGGCUUUUCGAGUGUGGGACAAGGUCUGAUGUCAGUGAACUGAACUGAAGAGCAAGACAUGGAGCCUGGCUGGGGCUAAGCAGCCCCCUCCUCUGGAUGGCACAGGCUCUGCUAGGUUCCGGACACAGGCUUCUGGGGGAAGGGUCUCCCUUGGCCAUCACGGGAAUGGAGUCCAUGCUAGAAAGUGCUCAGUGUUGGGCUGGGUUUGCCAAUAGAACACUGCGUUCCAGUCACCCCAGUCUUGCCAGAAGAAACCAGCACCUCUUUCCCGUGGCUCCUGUGUUCAGAAUGUGGUAUUGGCUCUGGCCCAGCCUUCUCCCCUGUUACCCAUAAUUCUUGCCUCUUUCCAUAAUCCGUGGUUUCAGUUUGACUUUGUAUAUAAAGUUGGGGUUUUUUUUUUUUUUUUUUGGCUUGUUUUUUAAAUAAACCAAAGUCAAAAAC